rnacentral:rRNA from 1 species
UACGGAGGGUGCGAGCGUUGUUCGGAAUCACUGGGCGUAAAGGGCGUGUAGGCGGCCCCGCUAAGUCUGAUGUGAAAAGCCCACGGCUCAACCGUGGAGGGUCAUUGGAAACUGGGGGGACUUGAGUGCAGGAGAGAAGAGUGGAAUUCCACGUGUAGCGGUGAAAUGCGUAGAGAUGUGGAGGAAUACCAGUGGCGAAGGCGACUCUUUGGCCUGUAACUGACGCUGAGGCGCGAAAAGCGUGGGGGAGCAAACAGG